AGCUCAACCUAUGCAAGUGUUAGCGGCAUAACCUGUGUUUGUUCGUGCCCCCCCCCCCCGGUAUGCCCCUUUUUUUGUCUUUUUUAUUGUUUUGUCUUUUCUUUUGUUUUGCUUUUUUGGAAUUUUUUUUCUUUUGUGUAUAUAUGUAAAUAUUUAUGCUUUGACUUAUAAUUAUGUGUUGCAUGUAUGUAUAGUUGUAUGUUCUGAAGUAAUCCUCAUAUGAGGGAAAUAGAGUAGGAAAGUUUGUCACAUAAAUUAGUUUUAUUUACAAUUGGCCAUCAGUAAAUGAUUAACGUCGCAAUAAUGUAUUCACACUAUAAAGCAGCAUUCACUAGACUUAUUUUCUUUUGGCCGGAAGUGCGCAGCGACCACGAGUUCUUUAACUAGUUCUUCUAUCCCGUCGCCCGUUUUGGACGAGCACUCCACAUAGCCCGUGGCGCCAAUCCGUGACGCCAUGUCCGACACUCUUGUGCUAGGAAUCACAAUAUCUGCCACAACUACACUUUCUUCUGCUAUCUGAAAACAAACCAACAGUUCACAAUAAUUUAUUUUAUACUUAAAGAUUUCGAAAAUUAUGAAUGAUAGCAAAUAAAAUACACUUAAUGAGAAAAACUUGGGAGUGAAAACAUGAAAAUCCAAUACAUGACUAUACACUAUUUUGCAACGCGUCACCUUACACCACUAGGAGUAUAAUAUAAAAAUUACUCAUUUUUUUCUAAUUAAUCUUUGAAAUAUUUUGGCGAUGUAGUAGAACAGCUUUCGAAAGGUUUUAAUGAGAACUCUUUGUUGUUGUGGAUAAUUAAUCGACUUACACUUGUCCGUUGGUCCUUUACAUCCAAAUGUGUACCAACCAGAAGAAACGGUGUACGAGGAAGAUAGGAGCGGAUCUCAUUGACCCAGAACUUCUCCACAUUCACAAACAUCGCAGGAUCCGCCACAGAAAAGCAAACUAAGACAACAUCAGACUUGUCGUAAGACAGAGAGCGUAGCUGUACCAUCUCAUGCUGUCAUAAAGUCGGAAACAAACAUCAAUUAGCAGGGCGACUAAGUGUAUUAUCACCGUGGAACCAUAUAACGGAUUUAUGUUUUGUUCUUAUUGACUUACGUUUCCAGCUGUGUCAAAUAAACUCAGAUGAUAUGGUGUACCGUCAACUAGAGAAGUGACUAAAACAUAAAAUAAAAACAGGCGUCAGAUUGAAAUGUUCGGAUAAUACAGCAAUUCCAACCGCUCGUAUAUAAAAUACGUCCAUGCGCGGAUCUAGAUGGGGUUCGAAAGACUGGAGUUUGACUCCCCACCCCUCGGAAAUGUAAAGUGAAGAAAUUUAUACGGUAAACUUUUAAACACGCAUGGAUAAGCACUUAUUAAUAAGACUUUCGUAACAGAUUAAAAAAUAAUCGGAGAGAAGGGGGAGGGAGGUUGGUGAAAAAUUCAGACUUGUAUGUUGCAUAACGGAGUUGAGAAGGAAGAGCAAAGCAGAAAGCAGUAGUGUCAGAAUACUGAACUGGUGGCGAGCGAGGUUGGAAUCAAUUUAACACCUUCUAUCGUACCACACACAGUUCUAUCAGAGUUCCGUCGUAAAAUUGUCGUUUGUCAACACUAGUUUCCAAAAGUAAUAAUUUUUCUUAACAGCUUAUUUGGAGCACUAUUGGUUGAGAGAAUCGAUAGAUGACCAGGACAUUACGGAAUAACGCGUGAUCAGCUGUGAAAAGGACAUAAAGCAAAAGGAAUCCAUCUACGUGCAGGGAUUAAUGAUUCGGUGUUGUGCAUUAGGUUCCAUAGACAGCGAUAAAGACAAUGUAAUAAAUUCUGAAAUCAAAACAC
rnacentral:sRNA from 1 species